rnacentral:rRNA from 1 species
UACAGAGGUCUCAAGCGUUGUUCGGAUUCAUUGGGCGUAAAGGGUGCGUAGGCGGCGCGGUAAGUCGGGUGUGAAAUCUCGGAGCUUAACUUCGAAACUGCAUUCGAUACUGCCGUGCUUGAGGACUGGAGAGGAGACUGGAAUUUACGGUGUAGCGGUGAAAUGCGUAGAUAUCGUAAGGAAGACCAGUGGCGAAGGCGGGUCUCUGGGCAUCUCCUGACGCUGAGGCGCGAAAGCGUGGGGAGCAAACGGG